rnacentral:lncRNA from 1 species
CCAACAAGUGCACAAGUGCACAGCAAAAUAAUGCUACAAGUGCCCGUGCACAGCAAAAAGACCCAACAAGUGGACAGGCGCACAACAACAUAGUUCUACAAAGAUUGGACGAGAUGGGCAAAUUUUAGUUGAUCACACAUAACAUCAAUGAGAAAUGAAGCUUCUUCUGCCCUUCACUUCUUUUGAGUGCUUCAAAUCAUCCUGGUAAUUGGAACAAUCAAACAUAAGAAAUCACACAAAAUAUGAGCAAACAAAAUAUAAAGGGAGGUUUUACAUUCAGCAAUUAACACAAGACUAAUACAUGCUCCCAUAGAAAUUUCAGGAAUUGCAAGAUUAUUCUUGUGUUAGCUCAACACUUUGUGCAAAAAAAGCUCACAUUAAUAACUUCCAACAUGAAGAGAUGUGAAUCAUAUAUCUUUAACACAGUAAAAUAAACAGCACCGGCAUGAGCACCACAACACAACACAGCUCAUAUACCACCAAACCAAACUGACCAUUGCAAACUAUAAGUUGACCUCAACACAAACAACACAUUCACACAAAGUAUGCAUGGCUGAAACACAACCUCAUAUGUAGACUUUAACUUAAUUCAUGAGUUUGAAUCAAAGGAGUAACAAUCAGAACCAUUUCCUGUAGUGAUGUCAACCUUUAUUGUUGAACAGGAAAAUGCUAAUAGCUAGUUACAGAGAUAAACAUAAUCCUCCCAGAAGAGUCUUGGCAAUUUGCAUUAAAUAUUAACAUGGUUGCAAAACUUCAGUUUGAGGGUAGCAUGUUUCUUUAGCCUUUACUUGACUGGAAUUACAAAAUGAAGCACAUGAACAAAUCAUACGAACAAGCAACCCCAUGAAGACCGCUCACUUGAAUCUUGUUUAUACUUUUCUUGCAGAUUAAGAUGUGGGGGAAGAGCAUUACCUUGAUGGGAUCUGAGUAGUAGCAUACAACCUGGAUAGUGUAGACUAACUCCGGAGGAAAAAUAUUACAUUUUCUCGAAGGUGAGAUUGAGCUAGACAUUGCCAAAAAAUCCUUGCGUUCACUUGGUUCAGAUCUUCCCUACGAGGUGAUGAGCAUUCCACUGCAGCAAACCAAUAGAUAAAAAUCAAAAUACAACCACUUUCAUCGAGACAACUACAAGCCAAGUUUAGCUAAUAUGACUUCUAUAGCAUGCAAGAUGUUUCUUAGAUCAACAAAAGUUGGAUGAACAUUCUAAAAUCAAUCUAAUAACUAGACUAACAUAUAAAUGUAGAUUGAACAAAAACAAUAAAAAAAGCUACGACGGGGAACCCUUGAGCGACAUAUAAUGAGUAGAGUAUUCAAUGAAGGUCAUAUUUUCCACAAGACUGAUCAAAACAAGAAAUAUUCGAGUCUACUAAUUUAUUACUGAAUCACAUAACAUCAUAGGAGAAAACAAUGAUUUUGAAGUUUAACUAAGACAUGCAUAUAGGCUAAGGAAUAGUAAGUCACAGCCAAAAGCAUUUCGACUUCCAUUUAUUUGCACCCACACAAUCAUCAUGUGCUCACAGUUCAGAUCAGGUUAUUUAAUCAUGUAGCUCUGCAUUGUUGCUGGCCUGACUAAACUCGUCCUCUAGCAUACGGGGAUACGACAAUUUGAUUAGGUAAGGAUUAUAUGAAUAUAAAAG